ACCUCGCUGGCGUUGAACACGGCCUCUUCAGUGCUGUUGUAGAGCAGAGACACACUUUCCACCGAGAACCACCACUGACCUGAAGACUCGUAGAAAGUGUUGGACAUCUGCAGUCUGUCACCAGAGGGACGAGAGGAAACAGUAGACAGACAGGUGCACGUACGUGGCCUUGUCCUGGCGGCAGACAGACUGGCUGGUGUCGAUGGGUUUCUGAGGGGAGAAGGUUCUCUCCGUCAGGUCCAGCUGCUUCUGCCUCUCAUAUCGGAGAGACAACUUCCUGGCCUGGAACAGGACGCACGGCUGCCCGUCGGAAAACACCUGGUGGACGGAGACGUCAGUGUUACAUCCACUCUUGUAAGAGUCCGUAAAACGCCACCUUGAGAGGAGGGAAGGGAAGAGCAGCUCCUGGCGCCUGAAGCAACUUCCUCCGUGAAACAUCUGGAGACUGAAGAGGAGAUGAGACGAGUUCACCUGCUGUUGUCUGGACGGUUCGUCUGCAGGUAUCAAACUCUGCUCCACCCACAUCCCUCCAUCACUCUGUGCCAUCCCUCCAUCUGCAGAGACAAGAACAGGAUGAAUUCCAUAAACUAUUAUCAGUAUUCAUCUAUUUACAUGCUAUAGUUAUUUCUGAACUGUUAAUUUGUGUAGUUGAGCUGAUAUUUGGUCUUGUGCCACUGCUGAUCACAGUACUGAAGGAGUAUUAUAAAACAUGACUGCUCUGGAUGUUCUGGUAUCUUAUAGUAGCUCCAUAAAAAAACAGCUCACGAAUUUCCCAACUAUGAGCUGAAGGAGCAGAUGUACCACGAAAGGUCAGGAAUGUAUGAGGCUGAUAUGGUAGAUAAUCAAUAUCCAAUAAUCAUAAUUUGUUGCAAGGAAAUGUUCAGACAGAAAGAUAGAACUGACCUUGAACUGGAGAGACAGCAGCACUGUGGACAGAAAUGACAGAAGGAUGAAUAAAAAACUGAAAUAAUGCA